rnacentral:tRNA from 1 species
GCCUGAGUGGCUCAGUCGAUUAAGCGUCUGACUUCAGCUCAGGUCAUGAUCUCAUGCCUUGUGAGUUCGAGCCCCGCCUCGGGCU